CCCAAGUAACACAGAACGUAGCGUAAACGUUGCCUGAUUGUAACAAAUGUCAGGCAACCUUAAACAGCCAACCACAACGUUGAAUGUACGUUGCCAGCUGUACGUUCAAGUGAUGUCACAAAUAAAUGUCACAGCAACGUCCCGACACCCACGUUGUGUCAACGUUGCAUGUAAACAUCAAUUUAACGUGUAAAUGGUAUCAAUGUAGCAACGUUACAAAACAGCACGUUCCCAAAACGUUGCUGGAGGUCAUCAAUAGUGACAUUAAUGUGAUGCCAAGCUGCUGUAGCAUUUCGCAUGUAUACGUUCAUGCAACUAUAAGAUAUUUUCAUUUUCAACUGAACAUUCAUCUUUAUCAUACAGUGAGGUAUGGAGCUGUAUAGUGGUUAUGCAGUAAUUAAUAUCUUCUAAGGAACACCACGUUAAAUUAUGUUUAUUAUGCUUCUCCACAGAUAAGAUCUGCUACAAAUUAUAUCAAACGGCAGAAGCGUUCACAUGGAAAAAAUGCUAAUUGUUGCAACGGUUCACCUAUAGUAGACAAAGUUACGCAUAAAAGUAUUCCCUUCUUCCACACCAAAUGCACAAGACUUUGUGACUGCUUGCACGCCACUUGCUUCCAAAAGUGGAAACAUUAAGCAAGGGCCAUCAUGAAUAGGCACAAGCCCCAUGAUACGAGCUGCAUAAAAAUGACGAACACAUCCACACUGUACAGUGGAUACACACAGAUCAUAUCUACUUGUCCAUAUGAAAAACAGUGCAUUUUUUUUUCAGUUCACGUAUGGUUUACAUCAUAGAAACGGCACUAGAGCAAAGGACUAUAAGCCACCAAAACGACUGCAAACACAUCGUACACCAGCGCACAUUUGUUUCACACACCUCACAGGACACAUGCACGCUGCAGACGUCUUUUUUUAGGAGGAAUCUUCGCGAGCCGCACGAUAAACACAGAAGGUACGGAUGACAGGGGCAAAACCCGCGCACAUUCAACACACCGACACGAAAGGAAAUGCGGACGAUACGGGUGUAACCUGCGCCACACGAGCUAUCAACCCUCGUGGAUUUGAUCCUUUCCGCCUGAAACAGUCACAACGCGCACGGAAACAUCGAACACUGCACAUCUGUACCUCCGAUAUCGUGUCAACAAUUCCUGAGGCUACAAUUCAUGUUGACGACAUCAGAAAGUUAUUUAAAACUAAGUGACGGCGUAGGAAAAGUAGGCAGCAUCGCUAAACGUCAUGGAUUGGCUUCGAGACAGCUUCGAGACAGCCCAAACCGUUUAAAUCACGCCACAGCGACGGCUUGAUAAGGAUAACGUAAGCUGAUCUCGAAGGCCAUGCUUAUGCUGGCUGCAGACGGCGGAAGCAAUUCAAAGGUAAAAUACGUUAUAAAAUUUCUUUCUACGCCAAACUAUAGUGUAAAAUAUAGAUUGUUCUACGGUUGUUUUGUCUUGCAACAUCUAUACGUAGUUGUGUGUAACCCGGCAGAAAAUUUUAGUAUGUGAUUGUACUGGUUAAUAUUUUUGUCAUCACAGAGGCCACAACAGUCUCACAAGUAUGCAGGUGGCGCUAUUGUUUUUCCUCCGUGUUCUGUGAUGGCGGUCGUAUGUGCGGCGUGCUACAAGCGUCGCGUUUACUUGAUCGUGUGUUUUUGUGUUUGCAGUUAUGAAGUGGGUCGCAGUUGGCGUGCACAGAAGUGCCUGAAGAUGCCUUGUGUCAUGCUACAAACUCGCCGUAUGCGUGGCGCGCCAGGCAAAUGUGGCCCAACGAUUUUAUGCCGUGGAGUGCGACCCCUUUGUUCUCGUGGAAAGUUGGGUGGACGUCGCAAAGAAAUAUUGUGUGUUGGGCGCGCCUCAGCUCGUCCACUACGCAGCGGCAUGUAUGCGGGAAGUAACAUCGUCGACGCAGCACCGGCAACUUGGAGAGCGCUUCGCGACCGCGUCGUACCAUUCAAAAGGGGCGAGGCUCUGACCCAUAACAGUGCCCACAUAACGGAGGAGCCACGAGGCCCCUUGGCUAUGCCUGCCGUAGUGCAACGUGUAAUCUGGAUGGUCGGGUCAGGUACACCUAGGAACUGUUUUAUACAUUGGCAACGAUAACUGGGGCCUGCUCCAGUGCCAUGGCCGGGACUCCCUGUUCUGCAAAGAACUGGCAUAACUGAUGUGGGGAGCCCUGGCGCUCGGCGUAGGAGCGUCACAGGGGCUCCUUGUCGGUGCUUGAAGGACGGCAAUGCUGUUGAGAAGCCGACAUUGAGCCCCGAUAAAUUGGAAGCUGUGGGUAGUUACCGCAUUAUUGACUUGGAAACCAGUGAGGUCUGGAUGCAAGUGAAGCUACCGAGGGAGGCAUGUGUGCAUCACUUGUGCUGCUGGCCAUCCUCUGCAAAAGUGAUGGCUGGCUGUCAGUGCUUGGAUGACUUUCUGUUACUCUACGCCUUGGGCUGUGUUGACUACUUCACACUUGCUGCCAUGUCUGCAAGCUUAGGCAAAAAGACUGGCUGGAUGCUUGGCAGGAGAUAGUAUCCAACCGCAGUGUAACUGUGUUGUGUUGUACAUUACAAAGUCAAGGAGGACAGUAUUUGUGCUGUUAUUAAGAAGUAUAAAUUGUGUUCGGCCAUUGACAUAAGGGAACUCGACAAAAAGCAAAAAAAUUUGAAGUCUGACCUACAUGGCAAGGCAAAAUAUAUUGUGCUGUAGUUGUAGCUGUUAGUAGAGACUUAAUAUGCGAUAGAAGACCUUGAUGUUUAAUAGAAAAUAUAUUUAAGUGUGUUAUCAGUGUGUUAUCAGUUUUUAAGUUGCUGUUAUAUAAGUGUCAUUUGUUUGCCAGGAUUAUGUAAGCAGACGGUAAAUAAAUGCAUGGUUUGACAUUAUAACCAGGUUUGUCUAUGGCAUUGACUAUUAUUUAAGGUGGACCAAUGCAUAUUCAUGGGUGUAUAUUCAACCACGACAUAUUCCUCCUGCACAAACAAUUCCUACAUACUAGCGUUUGUUCUUAGCAGCUGAUGUUGGCUAUUAUGCAAUUUCUUGAAAGCACAUGCAGCUACCGAAACAUGAUUUUUAGAGCAGUAAGUAAGAAGCAAAGAAACUGAUUUUUCUGUGCCCUAAGCAUAAAUGAUAUGUUUAAAGAAAAUGAACAUUUGUAGAAGAUUUUUACUUUUCUGCUGUGAGAACCUUUAUACGAGAACUCUGCACACUGGGUGUGUAUGCUGCUCUCUUGCUGUUAUAGCCAAAAUGAAAAAGUGUUAUGAACCACUUUGUAGCUUUGCAUUAUGCACUUUUACUUGCAGUCAGCAUCUAUAUACUGUGCUAUGGACAACAGCAAGACAAGUCAGGCAAACCACCAUGUGAAACACUUUAAAGAUUCUGGAUUAGGGCGAGUUGGUACUAUAUAUAGUGCAAGACAAAUCAGCUGAGCGUACAGCACUGCUGUCAGCAUGACACGGCUGACAGCACCGCAAACCCUUAAAUAUAUGUUUGUUUGACAGAUUAUGCAUUCUAGUAGUUUUCAUGUGCAUAUGCAUGAAAAUGUAAACAAGAAUUGGUGAAAAACAGCAUUCUUUUACGUAGAUAUAUCUUGUGUAUCUUACCACCACAAGGUAAGAUACACAGAUACACAAGAUAUAUACUUAAAAGAAUGCUGUUUUUCACCAAUUCUUGUUUCACAUUCUCAUGCAUAUGCAACAUGAAAACUACUAGAAUGCAUAAUAUGUCAAGCAAAUAUAAAUUUAAGGGUUUGCGGUGCUGUCAGCCGUGGCAUGCUGACAGCACUGCUGUUAUGCAUGUCUAAAUAUUCUGCAAUGUAAUUUGAGUGUUGCUUGAAUGUCAUACACGUACGUUGCCUGAAAGCGCAAGUGACAUAAGGCAACAUCCACAUUACGUUGUCAGGAAGUUCCCUUAACGUUAUGUCAACGUCGUGAACGUGCUGCUCAAUGCUGCCACAACGUUGCGGCCCAACGUUGUCUGGCGAUCAAAAAAGAGGACAUUAGCAGCAUGUAGGCAACGUUAUACACCGACAUUUGUGCACAUUCAGAGAACGUUAUGUCAACAUUUUGCGUUACUU